AUUGAACGCUGGCGGCAUGCCUUACACAUGCAAGUCGAACGGCAGCACGGGUGCUUGCACCUGGUGGCGAGUGGCGAACGGGUGAGUAAUACAUCGGAACGUACCUUAUCGUGGGGGAUAACGCAGCGAAAGCUGUGCUAAUACCGCAUACGCCCUGAGGGGGAAAGCGGGGGAUCGAAAGACCUCGCGCGAUUAGAGCGGCCGAUGCCUGAUUAGCUUGUUGGUGGGGUAAAAGCCCACCAAGGCGACGAUCAGUAGCUGGUCUGAGAGGACGCUCAGCCACACUGGGACUGAGACACGGCCCAGACUCCUGCGGGAGGCAGCAGUGGGGAAUUUUGGACAAUGGGGGCAACCCUGAUCCAGCAAUGCCGCGUGAGUGAAGAAGGCCUUCGGGUUGUAAAGCUCUUUUGUCGGGGAAGAAACACCGGCUCUAACACAGUCCGGGAAUGACGGUACCUGAAGAAUAAGCACCGGCUAACUACGUGCCAGCCGCCGCAGUAA
rnacentral:rRNA from 1 species